UGUUCUUAUGGGUUUUUCAG
rnacentral:snRNA from 1 species